rnacentral:rRNA from 1 species
AGGGAAAGAGGGCGGCAGGCCUAACACAUGCAAGUCGAGCGGAGCGGCGGACGGGUGAGUAAUGCCUAGGAAUCUGCCUGGUAGUGGGGGAUAACGUCCGGAAACGGGCGCUAAUACCGCAUACUAUCAGAUGAGCCUAGGUCGGAUUAGCUAGUUGGUGGGGUAAAGGACUACCAAGGCGACGAUCCGUAACUGGUCUGAGAGGAUGAGCAGUCACACUGGAACUGAGACACGGUCCAGACUCCUACGGGACGCAGCAGUGGGGAAUAUUGGACAAUGGGCGAAAGCCUGAUCCAGCCAUGCCGCGUGUGUGAAGAAGGUCUUCGGAUUGUAAAGCACUUUAAGUUGGGAGGCGUUACCAACAGAAUAAGCACCGGCUAACUUCGUGCCCUCAGCCGCGCUAAUUC